rnacentral:lncRNA from 1 species
GUUGGAUUUCCUUUGUGCAUCCAGCGCUAAGCAUGAAUAUGAGGGUAAAGGGGAUGGUAAAACACGGUUAAAAACCUGUGAUCCUCAUGCAAAACGAACUAUAACCAGCUCUGAUUCUCCUCAGGAGGUUGAAGAUAAGAAGGAAAUAAUCUUCACGUACGAUGUUGAGUUUAAGGUAAUAUUUUGCGACAGACUGUGGCUAUAAUAACUAUAUGAUGGAAAAAGCUGGCAUUAUGGUCGUAUGUCAUUGUGCUUUUCUCCUUGCCUUGUAGGAGAGCGAAGUCAAGUGGGCAUCCAGAUGGGAUACUUAUCUUUUGAUGACUGAUGAUCAAAUUCAUUGGUUCUCAAUUGUAAAUUCUUUGAUGAUUGUUCUUUUCCUUUCGGGUAUGGUGGCCAUGAUUAUGUUGCGUACCCUCUACCGUGACAUCUCUAAGUACAAUCAAUUAGAGACCCAGGAAGAAGCUCAAGAAGAAACUGGAUGGAAAUUAGUUCAUGGAGAUGUUUUCAGGCCUCCAACAAACUCUGAUCUACUCUGUGUUUAUGUUGGAACUGGCGUUCAGUUUUUUGGGAUGAUACUAGUUACCAUGAUCUUUGCUGCACUUGGAUUCUUAUCCCCAUCUAACCGAGGAGGGUUGAUGACAGCUAUGCUUCUUCUCUGGGCAUUCAUGGGCCUGCUUGCUGGAUAUGCCUCAUCUCGUCUUUACAAGAUGUUCAAAGGAACAGAGUGGAAGAAAAUUACUCUUCAAACCGCUUUCACCUUCCCUGGAAUUAUCUUUGCCAUUUUCUUUGUAUUGAAUGCUCUGAUUUGGGGCGAGAAAUCCUCAGGCGCUGUGCCAUUUGGAACCAUGUUUGCAUUAGUGUUCUUGUGGUUUGGUAUUUCGGUUCCUCUUGUCUUUGUUGGUAGUUAUGUAGGGUUUAGGAAGCCAGCUAUUGACAAUCCAGUGAAAACCAACAAGAUUCCAAGGCAAAUUCCUGAGCAGGCCUGGUACAUGAACCCAAUUUUCUCUAUCCUAAUUGGAGGCAUACUCCCAUUUGGCGCAGUAUUUAUUGAGCUGUUCUUCAUUUUAACAUCAAUCUGGUUGCAUCAGUUCUAUUACAUUUUCGGGUUCCUCUUCCUUGUGUUCGUAAUACUAAUCAUAACAUGUGCUGAGAUCACAAUCGUGCUCUGCUAUUUCCAGCUGUGCAGUGAGGAUUAUCUCUGGUGGUGGAGAUCAUAUCUGACAUCAGGGUCAUCAGCACUCUACCUCUUACUUUAUGCAGCUUUUUACUUCUUCACAAAGCUCGACAUCACAAAACCAGUAUCUGGUGUUCUCUACUUUGGGUACAUGCUGAUUGCUUCAUAUGCUUUCUUCGUGCUGACUGGUACAAUUGGUUUCUAUGCAUGUUUCUCGUUUACAAGGCUCAUCUACUCCUCGGUGAAGAUUGACUAAGUGAUGGGACGUUGAAGUAAGUGUUUAUAGUCCCUCAAGAAAGCUUAUUAAACUCCUGGGGCCUUUUUUCAAAAGUUAUGCUCGGUGUAACCUUUGAACUCCCUAAAGGUAGAAGUUAUCUUGCUCAUCUCCUUUGCAUUUAUAAUUUUGGUUUUGUAUGGAGACUUUACUUGUUUUUGAACUGUCCCAUUUUAGUUAUAACGAGAAUACUUAUUGUAAUGAUACUUUUGUUGAUGAAAUAUGUGUAAGGUACUUCUUUCCUAUUUGUCACAGCUAAAAUUGUUGUGAAACUGCUGAAUUUUGUAUUCUUCCAUCAAAUAGAUGCAGUCUCAUCUUCGUUGCAGUUAAAAAUAUCUACUGUUCCUACAAAGGCAGAAGCUGGCAAAACCUUUCGUUGUUUGCUACUUGUUAUAUAAUGGCUGCUCUCUGUGUAAAGCAAGCAGCCCAAGGAUUUCCUCUCUGCAGAAAUCCCCCAUCGUUAAAGGACGUGCUUCGUACUCUGUAUUUUAACCUUUCUGUCUGUAAUAUUGUCGAGUACUGACUUACACUAUGAAGCCUUCACAGGGUCAAUCCUCUCUUUCAUUAGAGAAGUCACUGGAAUAUGUAGAAUCUAAAUGGGAAGAUUAGAAGAUCUAGGCCAAGUCCAUGUCAAC